ACGGCUCAGUAACACGUGAGGAACGUGCCCUUGACUUCGGUAUAGCUCCAGGAAACUGGUGGUAAUCCCGAAUAUGAGCCUGGCCUGCAUGGGUUGGGUUGGAAAGCUUUAUGCGGUCAGGGAUCGUCUCGCGGCCUAUCAGCUUGUUGGUGGGGUAAUGGCCUACCAAGGCAGCGACGGGUAGCCGGCCUGAGAGGGUGACCGGCCACAUUGGGACUGAGAUACGGCCCAGACUCCUACGGGAGGCAGCAGUGGGGAAUAUUGCACAAUGGGCGCAAGCCUGAUGCAGCAACGCCGCGUGCGGGAUGACGGCCUUCGGGUUGUAAACCGCUUUCAUCCAUGACGAAGCGCAAGUGACGGUAGUGGGAGAAGAAGCACCGGCUAACUACGUGCCAGCAGCCGCGGUAAUACGAU
rnacentral:rRNA from 1 species